GUCAUCAGCGUAAUGAGGAGUAAACAUUUAUGCUAAUAAUCUACAUUUUUGCCCCCCCAUCGGCUAUAAAGAGGGGGAAAUAAAGCAGACAUUUUCAGUCAUUUUCUGAACUCGGCUGCUAUAAGCUUAGACCGACACAUGGGACACAUUUGGCUGGAUCUGGGCGCUGCUCGCGUGUCUGUGCUGCAGGAUGCUGCGGCUCAUCCGCCUCCACGCGGGGAGCUGCUGCUGCGUGGCCUCUUCAACAUCCCAGGCUGAAGGACACCGGUGACCCUGCCAGGAAACUGCAUCACAUCCGUUGGAGAUGAACUGAUCAAACGGUCCUCGGACUUCAAACUGGACUUGUUGCUCUAAAGAUUCUGUCUGCUUCUUUUUUUUAUAUCAUUGUUUUUCUUCAUGCAGAAGCAGAAGAUUUAUGAAAAAUUAGCCCAUGAAGUAACUCUGUGGUUCCCUGCACAUGACAUCUCUAACUGCAAAAAACUUCUGUGAAUAGAAAGAAGGAUAAUUAACACGUGAGACUUAAUGCUGGUCAUUGCAGGGUGGAGAAGUCAUAUUUCAACUCCUUUCUUUCCUUCUUCCAGUGUUCAGAGCAGCUCUCUCCUCAGAAAGCUCGGGGUCACAGUGUGGAAAAGCCCCCAGCGAACUGGUAGAAAUGCUGUCCCCAUUACGGCAGCAGCAGGGGUCAGGCCAUGGCAGCAAGCAUCCAACCUUCCUGAAAUUGGCUGCAAAAUGACCAAUUACCUGAGUGAAGGCUGGGGAGAAGGGACCUGGAAAAAUAUGGCUUUUACUUAAUUCAGCUAAACUGUAAAAGAAACUAGUGUUACAUCGAGGCUUCACACUUGCCACAUGUUACAGAAUCCCACCUGUUAAGUGAAGAUCUGGCCGCGAAAUCAGAAAAUCACUCUGAAAGAAAAUGAAAAUUAAAUAAACUGAUGGUUUGGAUGUGAGAGAGCUGGAUUGUGGGAGUAAAAAUCUUUGAACUGUUAGGCGGGGAAUUAUCUCACCGACACCAAAACAACGACUGAUUACACAUCUUUACAUGUCGGACUAAUUGAAUUCAUUUCCCUGCGAAUGGAGAACAUGCAAAUUUGGAGAGCCGGACUGCUUGACGUUCAGCUGCCACUGCGCCUUUAGUCUGAAAACCCCUUUUUUUUAGUUUUUGUUAAGAGUUAAGUCUCCAACAAAGACAGGAAGGAGGUCAGCACUCAGCCAACACCUGAAUGCGCCUCUCUUUAUUGUGCUCCCCUUGAUCCCCACAGUCUGUGCCUGUCAUUAGUCUUAAUGAUGGAAAAUUGUCAUGUUGAUACAAGUCUUGCUCUCCCCCUCUCUUCUUUGUAUAAGUAGAAGGUGGAAGCUCAAUUUGUAACAAAGUUCUUUGUGACUAAAAGCCGUGGACAUUGCAUUUGUGCCGGGGGAGAAAAAAAGGCUGUAGAUGCUCUUUCCAUAGCUGGGAUAAUUAUUCCCACUGUGACCUUAAUGAUUCGCUCUGUUCAUCCUGCAUCUCAUCCACGCGCCAGGCCCUCAGCGGAGCCCUGUGUCAGGGAAUAUGAAAAACCCAUAUAAUGAAACCAUUUUGGCUGAUGGAAAAAAAGGGCUACUGAAGCUGCACUUGCUACAAAGACGGCUCAAUUAUAUGAGUAAUUGUGAUAAUUUUCCCUCCAUUCACAGCUUUCUCUGAAAGGUAAAAAACACAGACGCUGAAAGGGAAAUUACUUGGACAAUAUAUAAUCUGUGAAAUGGUCACAACAGAAAAAAAAGAGGUGACUGUAAGAAAGUGCAGGACUAUAAAUAGGUAUGUUAAGGCAGGGGCACACAGAUACACCCUCAGAAGCUCACAGACAUAAACAAACCAAUGCAUGCUCGUGUGGGGGAAAAAAAGAAACAUGCAGCGAAUGACCAUUGUAAAAAAGAAAAGAAAAAAGAUAAGAGUCGAUCCACAGCUGCCAGAAAAUUAAACCUCCUUCUCCUUCCUAUUGACAAAUUUCAGCUCCUGAAAAUGCACCCCCAUAGUUGGCUAUCAUUUGUUGUUCCCUGACAGGAAAAGGAUAAUUACCUCUCUCAGAGGCAGGAGGACUGACAUGCCCUUUAGACUUUGCCAUGAAUGCAGAAGCUUGAUAGAAAGCCCGAGGAAUAAUUUUGUUCUUUGCCUUUUUCCUUUAUGUUCGAGAGCGUGUUUUGUUCCAAAGGAGUUGGAGUUGGUAGUAUUGCAGAGUGCAUUAAACCAUGGAUGUUCUGGUUCAUACUGCAAAUAUGACAUGCCCGUGUCUAUCAGCUUCUCCAUUCGAGGGAAAAAAACCUCUCAAAUGCAUUAAAAUUUCAAUUUCGUCUCGGUGGGCGACAGGCGAGAUAGUGAGAUAUGCAUUACUUUUUCCUUUCACAGUGGGUGUUGGAUUAAACAUUUCUUCCCUCUCUGUGAACAAAAAAGAGAAAGGAGCCGCUCUCUGUCAGGUGGGAACGAGGCUAUAAAUUCAAGUGUUGUGGGCACAGAAAUUCAUUGUAUAUGAGGAAGUGUCCAUCAUCUGCAAGGAAGCAAAUGAACUCUUGUCCUGUAGGAGAGCUUCAUGCUCUGUUUCCCAGUGUUUUAGGAAUAAUAUCAUUAAAACUUUCAGCACUGGUCUACAAAUAGUUCCAUACCACAACCGCUUCCCCCUAAAAAAGCGCUUUAGUGCACAAACAUCCCACAUGUAUAUGACCGCUGACCCUCAACGGCCACUGCAAUCUGGCUUCUUCACCAGCCGAGCAACAUUACAAAAAUUCUUGUAUCAUACUCAAUUGGUGAGUCUCUUGUCACACACCAUGUAUCAGUUUCACCCCCCUCCUCUCCCCCCAAAACUUCCAUCCCAUUGAGCAGCCUUGUGUGUUACAGGCCAAGAAAGCCAGAGACCCCCUGGUCCUACCUGAUUGUUCCUCCUGUAACAUGGAGAAGCAGCUUGGUCCCACCACCAGCCAACAGUGAGCAAGACACACACACACACACACACACACACACACACACACACACCCCACUGUGCACUUCCUGACAGCCUCCAGAAAUGUUUUCAAGUUGUCACGGCCCUCCAGUAAUGGUCCGGGAGCAGAAAAAUACAACAAAACUAUAAUCAUGUGAUCACACAUUGAGGAUAUGUAUGGACUGUGAGACUGUUUGUGUUGCUUCUCGCAGGCUCUUUCAUUUACUGUUUUCAUUUAGUUUCCCAUUGAAAUCCGGCUCAAUAUUUUUUUUUGCUGUUUGGUCACUUUGACACAGAACCAAACAGGCUUUGCAAAUCUCUUGUGUUUGAAGCUGCGGCUGUUGUGAUAUUUUUGAGCAUGAAAUCAUUUUUAAACUUUUUUUUUCUUAGUGCUAAGGAACAGUAUGACAUUUUUUUUAGGGGGGGGGGGCCAUGAACUUUUUCUUUUUACUGAAGGGAGUAUGAUUGGACUUUUAGGGGAGGGACUUUUCUCAUCCCAGAUUCAUGAUUCAUUAUAUUUAUUCAGAGAGGUACCUGGCUACAACUCAGUCUAUUGUCAUUUUAAAUAACAGCGAUAAUUUAGAAGCUGAACAUUACACAGAUGUAAAGUUCAAGAUGCAACAGUUCACUUUUUGCCAUAAAUUUGGCUUUAAAUAAAUUCACUUUUCUUGUGUGAUUCGGUGUCGAUUGGAUAGGAUGGGUUACUUUUAUUGCAGUGUUACAGCAGCAACAGCACCGAUCAUCACAUUAACGCACAUCCCUUACACAUACAGACACGAGGCAGGUGAAAGACACCGUAUUUAAUAGUUAUCGAUCCACUAACAUACAACAGUUUAAAUAGAACUACACCGUCUUUGCUUAAUAAUGUACUGUUUGUUUUUAAUGGUUAAACUAAUUUGACCAAUAAUCAAUCAAGUAUUAUUUUGAGAUAUUAGAGAAUGGAUGUUGGAAAGUCAAGAAAAAUAAUUUAUUUUUAUUUUUUAAACACAAAGGAGGUUUUUUUCUUUAAUGAAAAGUGGCACAGUGUCAGUUAAUAUUGUCUCUCGUGAAAACCUAAAAAGUGUAACUAUGGUUAUUUUUUCACAGACUGUAUUUAUGUGUACAUGCUGCUCUGUGUGUGUUGUGUUGUCCUCAUGUUAAACUGUGAUUUUUGGUUAUUUAAAUACAUGUUUUUUUACAUUGGUUCUAAUAUUCUGCAAUAUCUGGCCUGAUUAAAGCCAAAAUGUGUAGUGGU